GGAAGGAUGGCAGAGUGGUUAAAUGCACCGGUCUUGAAAACCGGCAAGGGUUUGUAGCCCUUCUAGGGUUCUUAUCCCUAUCCUUCCGCCA
rnacentral:tRNA from 1 species